GGUAAAAUGUUGAAAGCUUUGUUUGAACAUGCGUGGAUGUCCACUUUCAGCCAUAAUGUGAUAACAAGAACCAGACUUAUCCUCCCACUGUGAGUAACUAGAAAGUGGACAAGAUACAUAAAAUAACUUAUUUCAGGAAGUACAUGAUUGUGAUCCCUGGGAAAAUGGACAUAAGUGAAAAGAACCCUAUAAUUGCCUUGGCUUUCUACCUGGAGGCAAUUUCUGACAAUAGGAUAAGGGAGGAGGAAUCUAAAUAGAGCCUGAAAUCCUCUCUGAGUUGAGAAGAUCAAAGAUGACCCAAAAAAGGGAACCCAGAGGACGUUAGGUGAUCUGAAACCAUGUCAUCUGGAAAAUAGUUAGAAGUCCUGGGCUGUUUAACUGGCAGUAGGGAAGACUGAGGGGCAAUAUGAAAACUGUCUUUAGAGAUUAGAAAAACUGUCAUGUUGAACAGGGGUUGUUUGUGUUCUGUAUGGCCCUGAAAGACAGAGUUUAGGACAGCUGGAUGGAAAUGAGAGAAAGAGGAUUUUGGUGAAAUCCAAGGAAACACUUUCUAGCAAUCAUGGUUGAUCAGGCUGGAGUGGGCAGCCUUCCUCAGCUGGCGGAUGAAGGCACUGAGCAAGCAUGCUGGGUUGUUGCUGAAGGAGCUUCUGUAGUGGCAAGUGACCAAGCUAAAUGGCAUCCAGGGUCCCUUUUACUCUUAAAGUUUUUCAUAGUUUGGUUUGCAUAGCUUGGCCUCCAUAAAAGGCAGCUGUU
rnacentral:lncRNA from 10 species